rnacentral:rRNA from 1 species
UACGUAGGGUGCAAGCGUUAAUCGGAAUUACUGGGCGUAAAGCGUGCGCAGGCGGCUUUGCAAGACAGAUGCGAAAUCCCCGGGCUCAACCUGGGAACUGCAUUUGUGACUGCAUGGCUAGAGUACGGUAGAGGGGGAUGGAAUUCCGCGUGUAGCAGUGAAAUGCGUAGAUAUGCGGAGGAACACCGAUGGCGAAGGCAAUCCCCUGGACCUGUACUGACGCUCAUGCACGAAAGCGUGGGGAGCAAACAGG